AUGAGUUUGGGAGCUGGCUUGAGUAUAGUGAGUCCAAACGAAAAGCAUAUUGCUUUUUGUUGUUUCUUGUUUAGACCGCGCAAGAAGAAAGAAGCCGGUUAUGAUGCAUUUGUUGCAAAUGGUUGGUCAAGUUGGAAUAAAAAAUAUAGAUUAAAGGAGCAUGUAGGAGACAUCAAUAGUGCUCACAACCAAGCAAAAAGAGAUUGUGAUGCUUUGCUGAAACAAAAGCAACACAUCUAUGUUGCUCUAAACAACCAAAGUAAUGUUGAGAGGAAUGCUUAUUAUACUCGACUAAAUGCCUCAAUUGAUGUUACUAGAGUGUUAUUGAAGCAAGGGUUGCCUUUCCGUGGCCACAAUGAGUCUGAUGAGUCUCUCAAUAAAGGUAAUUUCAAGGAAUUGCAUGCUUACACAACAGAGCAGAAUCCGGAGGUAAGAAAAGUUGUGGCCCAUAAUGCUCCAGGUAAUAAUCAGUUGACUUCUUCAAAGAUUCAGAAGGACAUAGUUGAAUGUUUUGCAAAGGAGAUAUUGCAUUCUAUUCUUCGGGAAAUUGGGAAUGAUGUAUUUUCUUUGCUAGUUGAUGAAUCAAGGGAUGUGGCUGGUAAAGAGCAAAUGGCGGUGGUAUUGCGGUAUGUUGGUAAAUGUGGAAGUGCCAUAGAGACAUUAGUUGGCCUUACUCAUGUGAAGGAGACAACUUCCAAGUAUCUCAAGUCUGCCAUUGAUGAUUUAUUUGCAGAAUAUAAAUUAAGUUUCAAGCAAGUUAGAGGGCAAGGAUAUGACGGUGCGAGCAAUAUGCGAGGUGAGUUUAAUGGCUUACAAUCCUUAAUCAUGAGAGAGAAUAGCACAACAUAUUAUGUUCACUGUUUUACCCAUCAGCUUCAGUUAGCUGUUGUGGCUGUUCUUCGGAAGCACAAAUGCAUUGGCAAUUUUUUUGGUAUGAUCUCAGUCUUGUUGAAUGUGGUCUCUGGAUCCUGA
rnacentral:rRNA from 1 species